UUAAAGGCCAUAAUAAUAAUUUUUUUCCAGAUGAUCGUUGCUGCGAUUUACAGAACUAUAUUUUGCUAAUGUUAUAGCUAAAGAUCCCUUAAAGGAUGUUAUGCUUAAUUUUACAAAUGGCUCUUCCAAUGGAAGGACUGCAUAUAUGGUUAACAAUGAAAAAAAAACUGUGGAGCAUGACAUUGGCUUCUUAAAAACAACUUAAGAGGAUAAAAGUUGCAGACAGAUCUGACAUGAUGGCACCAAGGUAGCCUUUGCUAAGGCAAGGUACAAAAGCCCUUGCAAAGAAUUAUAAAAAGACCUGGCCUAUAUUUUGGGUCAAGGAUGUGUUUAUGUUCUUUUUUCACAGAAAGAAAAUAAAGCUGGAUGAGAUGACUAUUAUUCCUUUAAAAACGGCGGGGUGGGGUGUGUAGACGAACACAGGAUAGACGAGACACGCACAAAAGGAAGAGACAAGACACGCGGCUCCCACAAUCUGAGAAGACUGGCACCCACACACUGAGACAAUGGGGAUGUUCUAUCGGGAACUCACCAAGGUCAGCUGGACUGGGUCUGAAAAAGCCUGGGAUAAAACCGGACUCGCUGAACAUAGUGGACAAUGAGGACUACUGAGAACUCACGAACAAUGGCAAUGGGUUUUUGAUCCUACUGCACGUACUGGCUUUGUGGGAGCCUAGGCUGUUUGGAUGCUCACCUUACGAGACCUGGAUGGAGGUGGGUGGUCAAUGGCAUGCCUUUGAUAGGGCCCAUUAAAGACAUCCACAUUGCCCACUUCCUGCUCACUCUUUCUGUGUAUAAUAAUUGUUCAUUACAUCUCAUUUCAGAUUACAAAAUCAUAGGUCUCAUAUUUUAAACUGGUCAGAAGAGGGCAUCAGAACUCAUUACAGAUGGCUGUGCUUGCCGGGAAUUGAACUCAGGACCUUUGGAAGAGCAGGCAAUGCUCUUAACCACUGAGCCAUCUCUCCAGCCCUAAGUAUUUAAUUAUUAAAAAACUUUUCAUAACAAGAAGAGACAGGUUGGCUCCUUAGCAGCAACACUCUGCUUCCUCCAGACAGAAGACACGCACACAGAACAACGUCCUUCUGCAGUUUGCUUCAACUGCCGAGUGCUGACCAUUGGGCAAAACUGCCUUUCGUCUAAACUAAAAACCUCUAGAUGUGGACAGAAUCGCUGGAAUCGACAGCCUAGCUGCUCAGGUCAAGGUAGGCCUGUCUUCCUACAGAUUUUUUUAGCCCACAGGGUCUUCGAGAGUGUGGCAGGCCUGGUGCUAACCAGCAAAGGUCAAGUGCAACCUUCAGUGACCAUAGAGGACCCAAAAGAGAAGCUCUGGGUGCCAACCAAGUAAGUUCUCUGUCAUUUUUAAAAUCAGUAACUCAAGUAAAAUCUUAUCUUUCUCAAAGAUCUCUGACAGUUUGAUAGCUGAGAGGUUUUUCCAGCUUAUUUCACCAAAUAAAUUUCAAAUCAAAUUUCUCUCUUAUGCUGCCUUCCAUGUGUCUAAAACUUCUGUUUUCACAAACCCAAGGAGUUCUUGUGAGUUCCAGGGAGCCGAAUUAAAGGAUCUUAAACAGGUCAGAUCCCCCAUCAAUUCCCUGGCCCAAAUUUUUUUUUCCUUAAUUUAACUUUGUUCUUUGUUCUGCCAAUACCUUAAACAGGAUAAGGGAUACCAGACAUUUCCAUGUCACAGACACCCGGUCGGGAGCAAAGAGACCAGCUAUGCCAAGAUGUGGCCAGCACUCAGCCUUCUCUCAGGUUUCCCCCCCAAAGACGACACCCACAAAUCAGCCGGAAGCAGUCUUGAGAAUUUGCUGCCCCAAUUCCGUCAAACUGUGGUGUCUAAUCUCCUGCUUUUUAUUAUAAAAAGGAUCUGGGAAUAUUAUUCUUUUGGCCCUUUAAGGGGCAAGCCACGCCCACUCCCCCCCCCAUCUUGGAUUCUCUCUUACUGUCCCCUCUGGGCGUGUGUCUCUCUGUCUCUCUGUCCCCCUCUCUCUUUCCCUCUCUCUCUCUCUCUGCCCCACACUUCUCCCUUUCCCC